rnacentral:rRNA from 1 species
UGGGCAACCUGCCUCUAGCUCUGGGAUAACUCCGGGAAACCGGGGCUAAUACCGGAUAUGACCUCGAGCGGCAUCUAUCGAGGUGGAAAGUUUUUCGGCUAGAGAUGGGCCCGCGGCCUAUCAGCUUGUUGGUGAGGUAACGGCCCACCAAGGCGACGACGGGUAGCCGGCCUGAGAGGGCGACCGGCCACACUGGGACUGCGACACGGCCCAGACUCCUACGGGAGGCA